rnacentral:hammerhead_ribozyme from 1 species
AUCCAGCUGACGAGUCCCAAAGAGGACGAAACGCGCAUCCUGGAU